rnacentral:rRNA from 1 species
CUUGGCACGAACCUUGCUUGAGCAGGACAUUCUUGAUCGAUUCCGGAGAGGGACGUGAGAACGGAUACCACCACUAGGGAAGGUCUCAGGCGCGCAAAUUACCCAAUCCUAAUACAGGGAGGUAGUGACAAGAAAUAACAAUACAGAACCUUACGGUUUUGUAAUUGGAAUGAGUUAAGUAUAAACCCCUUAACAAGUAUCAAUUGGAGGGCAAGUCUGGUGCCAGCAGCCGCGGUAAUUCCAGCUCCAAUAGCGUAUAUUAAAGUUGUUGCAGUUAAAAAGCUCGUAGUUAAUCUUCUGUUAAUUUUUAUAUAUAAUAUCACGAUAUUUAUAUAAUAUUAACAUAAUUCAUAUUACUUUUUAGUAUAUGAAACUUUACUUUGAGAAAAUUAGAGUGCUUAAAGCAGGCUAUUGCCUUGAAUACUCCAGCAUGGAAUAAUAUUAAGGAUUUUUAUUCUUCUUAUUGGUUCUAGAAUAAAAAUGAUGAUUAAUAGGGACAGUUGGGGGCAUUUGUAUUUAACAGUCAGAGGUGAAUUUCUUAGAA